CAAUAGCGUAUAUUUAAGUUGUUGCAGUUAAAAAGCUCGUAGUUGGAUUUCGGAUGGGAUUUGCCGGUCCGCCGUUACGAUGUGCACUGGCCAGUCCUAUCUUGUUGUCGGGGACUAGCUCCUUGGAUUCACUUCCUGGGACUAGGAGCUGACGAGGUUACUUUGAGUAAAUUAGAGUGUUCAAAGCAAGCCUACGCUCUGAAUACAUUAGCAUGGAAUAACACGAUAGGACUCUGGCUUAUCUUGUUGGUCUGUGAGACCAGAGUAAUGAUUAAGAGGGACAGUCGGGGACAUUCGUAUUUCAUUGUCAGAGGUGAAAUUCUUGGAUUUAUGAAAGACGAACUUCUGCGAAAGCAUUUGUCAAGGAUGUUUUCAUUAA
rnacentral:rRNA from 1 species